ACAAUCUCUCCUAAAUCGAGUUCAGGGUACAUGGAUUCCAUUUAUCCUUGGGUCUUUUCAAACCAUUUCUCUAUAGCAAUGUAGGCUUCCAUUUUUUUUUCUAAAUCUGCCUCCAUGUUGCUUAGGAUGUUGGUAGAGGAUUCAUAUGCAUCCUUGAAUGUCUUUAUCUUGUCUCCUUGAUCUUUGAUCACUUCGUCGUUCUUCUUCUU
rnacentral:lncRNA from 1 species